rnacentral:rRNA from 1 species
CAAUAGCGUAUAUUAAAGUUGCUGCAGUUAAAAAGCUCGUAGUUGCAUUUCCGAGGCAAGGGAGUAGUCCGACCUUUGGUGGGUAUUUAAUCCUCUUGCCUCGUCCUUGAGUGGUGCUUCUUGGUAUUAAGUUAUCGAGGAGAUAGCCGCUCAUCGUUUACUGUGAGAAAAUUAGAGUGUUCAAAGCAGGCUUAUGCCGUUGAAUAUAUUAGCAUGGAAUAAUAAGAUAGGACCUCGGUACUAUUUUGUUGGUUUGAGAACCAAGGUAAUGAUGAAUAGGGACAGUUGGGGGUAUUCGUAUUCAGUUGUCAGAGGUGAAAUUCUUAGAUUUACGGAAGACGAACUACUGCGAAAGCAUUUACCAAGGAUGUUUNCAUUAA